rnacentral:rRNA from 1 species
AUUGAACGCUGGCGGCAGGCCUAACACAUGCAAGUCGAGCGGAUGAAGGGAGCUUGCUCCUGGAUUCAGCGGCGGACGGGUGAGUAAUGCCUAGGAAUCUGCCUGGUAGUGGGGGAUAACGUCCGGAAACGGGCGCUAAUACCGCAUACGUCCUGAGGGAGAAAGUGGGGGAUCUUCGGACCUCACGCUAUCAGAUGAGCCUAGGUCGGAUUAGCUAGUUGGUGGGGUAAAGGCCUACCAAGGCGACGAUCCGUAAUUGGUCUGAGAGGAUGAUCAGUCACACUGGAACUGAGACACGGUCCAGACUCCUACGGGAGGCAGCAGUGGGGAAUAUUGGACAAUGGGCGAAAGCCUGAUCCAGCAAUGCCGCGUGUGUGAAGAAGGUCUUCGGAUUGUAAAGCACUUUAAGUUGGGAGGAAGGGCAGUAAGUUAAUACCUUGCUGUUUUGACGUUACCAACAGAAUAAGCACCGGCUAACUUCGUG